UGAACGAUGCUUUCAUUGUACAAGUUUGAACAAUGACAAUAGUCUGAAUCUGAAUCUGAUAUAAUCCUUGUUCCCUGGUGGUUUGUGGCUCCAGCAAGAACCCACAUAUCUCUACUACAAGAAGGAUAUUCAAAGCUAUCUGGAUUUGGCAAGUGAGGAUAAAGCUUCCGUUGGAUGUUCUUCUUUUGCAAAAGAAACUGACGAAAGAGUGCUCAGAGGCGUGUCUGUGGGUCUCCUUGCUGUCCCUGAAGAAGAUGAUCCUGCUGUUUCACCAAACGUGCGGGACUGGGCUGUUGUGUUGGAAGGUUCCAUCGUGCUACCUGACCUGCCAGACCUCGGCACUGCCAUCGCAUACCUCUUUGGCCUACUAUAUGCAAUGAACAUUGAUUAUCCGAAGGAGAUGAGGUACACCUUUGAAGCAAUUCAGACCAUCUUUUUCGAACUUGGCUCUCAGUGCUCCCAGCGCACAAGGUCUCUGAAAACAAAGCUUUUGCUGUGACUCUUAAUGUGGAGGCCAACCUUUGUUUUAUGCCUGUUCUAGUGCAUUGUGGUUGGUGCUUGUAAAUAUUCACAGCCAGUGAUUUAAAACUUGCAAGUCCUCAAGGAAAACUUUAAAUAAUAUAUUUUUAUUUUCAAAAUUGUUUCAGGCACCAGUUUGCAAGAGGUGCAUAUAUCCACUGUCAACUGUUCAAGUUUGUGAUUGUUUUAGUAACACCUCCGUGUCUGUACACGCUUGCAUGUGUUCUCAUUUUAAGCAUGCCAUUCUCCUCUGCCUGUGAUAAAGAAAUGUGUGGGAUUAUUCCUUGAUAGUUCCUUGAUAUAAUGUGCUACUAUGUUUCAAGUUCCAUGGUGGUGUUGAACAUGUUUCUGAAUAAGAGAAAUACAAAGUUUUCAGAUACCUUUUGAUGUGUGCUAUUUAUUCAUUUAGCAUUUCUUAAAUACAAUUACAGCAACAUUAUUGUUACUUCAUUUAUAAAGGAACUUUUCUCACUUAAGUAACACGAAUAUCUGAGUUUGUUGAAGGUAAAAAUACAU